UACAGAGGCCCCAAGCGUUACUGAGAAUCACUGGGUUUAAAGGGUGCGUAGGUGGCGCGUUAAGUCCGUUGUGAAAUCCCUUGGCUCAACCAAGGAAAUGCUUCGGAUACUGGCGUGCUUGAGGCUAGUAGGGGUCACUGGAACUGACGGUGGAGCGGUGAAAUGCGUAGAUAUCGUCAGGAACGCCGAUGGUGAAGACAGGUGACUGGGCUAGUUCUGACACUGAGGCACGAAAGCGUGGGGAGCGAAC
rnacentral:rRNA from 1 species